GGUUAAGCGACUAAGCGUACACGGUGGAUGCCCUGGCAGUCAGAGGCGAUGAAGGACGUGCUAAUCUGCGAAAAGCGUCGGUAAGGUGAUAUGAACCGUUAUAACCGGCGAUGUCCGAAUGGGGAAACCCAGUGCAAUUCGUUGCACUAUCGUUAACUGAAUACAUAGGUUAACGAGGCGAACCGGGGGAACUGAAACAUCUAAGUACCCCGAGGAAAAGAAAUCAACCGAGAUUCCCCCAGUAGCGGCGAGCGAACGGGGAGCAGCCCAGAGUCUGAAUCAGCUUGUGUGUUAGUGGAACGGUCUGGAAAGUCCGACGGUACAGGGUGAUAGUCCCGUACACCAAAAUGCACAGGUUGUGAACUCGAAGAGUAGGGCGGGACACGUGGUAUCCUGUCUGAAUAUGGGGGGACCAUCCUCCAAGGCUAAAUACUCCUGACUGACCGAUAGUGAACCAGUACCGUGAGGGAAAGGCGAAAAGAACCCCGGCGAGGGGAGUGAAAAAGAACCUGAAACCGUGUACGUACAAGCAGUGGGAGCACCUUCGGGUGUGACUGCGUACCUUUUGUAUAAUGGGUCAGCGACUUAUAUUCUGUAGCAAGGUUAACCGUAUAGGGGAGCCGCAGGGAAACCGAGUCUUAACUGGGCGUUAAGUUGCAGGGUAUAGACCCGAAACCCGGUGAUCUAGCCAUGGGCAGGUUGAAGGUUGGGUAACACUAACUGGAGGACCGAACCGACUAAUGUUGAAAAAUUAGCGGAUGACUUGUGGCUGGGGGUGAAAGGCCAAUCAAACCGGGAGAUAGCUGGUUCUCCCCGAAAGCUAUUUAGGUAGCGCCUCGUGAACUCAUCUUCGGGGGUAGAGCACUGUUUCGGCUAGGGGGUCAUCCCGACUUACCAACCCGAUGCAAACUACGAAUACCGAAGAAUGUUAUCACGGGAGACACACGGCGGGUGCUAACGUCCGUCGUGAAGAGGGAAACAACCCAGACCGCCAGCUAAGGUCCCAAAGUCAUGGUUAAGUGGGAAACGAUGUGGGAAGGCACAGACAGCCAGGAUGUUGGCUUAGAAGCAGCCAUCAUUUAAAGAAAGCGUAAUAGCUCACUGGUCGAGUCGGCCUGCGCGGAAGAUGUAACGGGGCUAAACCAUGCACCGAAGCUGCGGCAGCGACACUAUGUGUUGUUGGGUAGGGGAGCGUUCUGUAAGCCUGCGAAGGUGUGCUGUGAGGCAUGCUGGAGGUAUCAGAAGUGCGAAUGCUGACAUAAGUAACGAUAAAGCGGGUGAAAAGCCCGCUCGCCGGAAGACCAAGGGUUCCUGUCCAACGUUAAUCGGGGCAGGGUGAGUCGACCCCUAAGGCGAGGCCGAAAGGCGUAGUCGAUGGGAAACAGGUUAAUAUUCCUGUACUUGGUGUUACUGCGAAGGGGGGACGGAGAAGGCUAUGUUAGCCGGGCGACGGUUGUCCCGGUUUAAGCAUGUAGGCUGGUUGUCCAGGCAAAUCCGGAUAAUCAAGGCUGAGGUGUGAUGACGAGGCACUACGGUGCUGAAGUAACAAAUGCCCUGCUUCCAGGAAAAGCCUCUAAGCAUCAGGUAACAUCAAAUCGUACCCCAAACCGACACAGGUGGUCAGGUAGAGAAUACCAAGGCGCUUGAGAGAACUCGGGUGAAGGAACUAGGCAAAAUGGUGCCGUAACUUCGGGAGAAGGCACGCUGGUGUGUAGGUGAAGUCCCUGCGGAUGGAGCUGAGACCAGUCGAAGAUACCAGCUGGCUGCAACUGUUUAUUAAAAACACAGCACUGUGCAAACACGAAAGUGGACGUAUACGGUGUGACGCCUGCCCGGUGCCGGAAGGUUAAUUGAUGGGGUUAUCCGUAAGGAGAAGCUCUUGAUCGAAGCCCCGGUAAACGGCGGCCGUAACUAUAACGGUCCUAAGGUAGCGAAAUUCCUUGUCGGGUAAGUUCCGACCUGCACGAAUGGCGUAAUGAUGGCCAGGCUGUCUCCACCCGAGACUCAGUGAAAUUGAACUCGCUGUGAAGAUGCAGUGUACCCGCGGCAAGACGGAAAGACCCCGUGAACCUUUACUAUAGCUUGACACUGAACAUUGAGCCUUGAUGUGUAGGAUAGGUGGGAGGCUUUGAAGCGUGGACGCCAGUCUGCGUGGAGCCAACCUUGAAAUACCACCCUUUAAUGUUUGAUGUUCUAACGUUGGCCCCUGACCGGGGUUGCGGACAGUGUCUGGUGGGUAGUUUGACUGGGGCGGUCUCCUCCCAAAGCGUAACGGAGGAGCACGAAGGUUAGCUAAUCCUGGUCGGACAUCAGGAGGUUAGUGCAAUGGCAUAAGCUAGCUUGACUGCGAGCGUGACGGCGCGAGCAGGUGCGAAAGCAGGUCAUAGUGAUCCGGUGGUUCUGAAUGGAAGGGCCAUCGCUCAACGGAUAAAAGGUACUCCGGGGAUAACAGGCUGAUACCGCCCAAGAGUUCAUAUCGACGGCGGUGUUUGGCACCUCGAUGUCGGCUCAUCACAUCCUGGGGCUGAAGUAGGUCCCAAGGGUAUGGCUGUUCGCCAUUUAAAGUGGUACGCGAGCUGGGUUUAGAACGUCGUGAGACAGUUCGGUCCCUAUCUGCCGUGGGCGCUGGAGAAUUGAGGGGGGCUGCUCCUAGUACGAGAGGACCGGAGUGGACGCAUCACUGGUGUUCGGGUUGUCAUGCCAAUGGCACUGCCCGGUAGCUAAAUGCGGAAGAGAUAAGUGCUGAAAGCAUCUAAGCACGAAACUUGCCCCGAGAUGAGUUCUCCCUGAGACUAUAAGUCUCCUGAAGGAACGUUAAAGACGAUGACGUUGAUAGGCCGGGUGUGUAAGCGCAGCGAUGCGUUGAGCUAACCGGUACUAAUGAACCGUGAGGCUUAACCUU
rnacentral:rRNA from 1 species